rnacentral:rRNA from 1 species
CCGCAUAAUCCCUACGGGGGAAAGCAGGGGACCUUCGGGCCUUGUGCUGAUGGAUGAGCUCGCGUCGGAUUAGCUUGUUGGUGAGGUAAUGGCUCACCAAGGCGACGAUCCGUAGCUGGUCUUAGAGGAUGAUCAGCCACACCGGGACUGAGACACGGCCCGGACUCCUACGGGAGGCAGCAGUGGGGAAUCUUGGACAAUGGGGGCAACCCUGAUCCAGCCAUGCCGCGUGUGUGAAGAAGGCCUUCGGGUUGUAAAGCACUUUCAGUAGGGAGGAAGGCUUAUCCUUAAUACGGAUGAGUACUUGACGUUACCUACAGAAGAAGCACCGGCUAAUUUCGUGCCAGCAGCCGCGGUAAUACGAAAGGUGCAAGCGUUAAUCGGAAUUACUGGGCGUAAAGCGCGCGUAGGCGGUUUGCUAAGUCAGAUGUGAAAGCCCCGGGCUCAACCUGGGAACUGCAUUUGAAACUGGCAGGCUAGAAUGCAGUAGAGGGAGGUGGAAUUUCCGGUGUAGCGGUGAAAUGCG